rnacentral:rRNA from 1 species
GAUGAACGCUGGCGGCGUGCCUAACACAUGCAAGUCGAGCGAUCUACUUCGGUAGAGAGCGGCGGACGGGUGAGUAACGCGUGGGUAACCUGCCUCAUACACAUGGAUAACAUACCGAAAGGUAUGCUAAUACAAGAUGAUAUAAGAGAUUCGCAUGGAUUUCUUAUCAAAGCUUUUGCGGUAUGAGAUGGACCCGCGUCUGAUUAGCUAGUUGGUAGGGUAACGGCUUACCAAGGCGACGAUCAGUAGCCGACCUGAGAGGGUGAUCGGCCACAUUGGAACUGAGACACGGUCCAAACUCCUACGGGAGGCAGCAGUGGGGAAUAUUGCACAAUGGGCGAAAGCCUGAUGCAGCAACGCCGCGUGAGCGAUGAAGGCCUUCGGGUCGUAAAGCUCUGUCCUCAAGGAAGAUAAUGACGGUACUUGAGGAGGAAGCCCCGGCUAACUACGUGCCAGCAGCCGCCGCGGUAA